GAACUCACUACACGAGAUGCAUCAUCAGGACACGGCCUUCUCCGUUGUCUAGUUGGUAACCAGAGUCUCCUGUAGGGAGAGCGGGCAUUGUGUGUAUAGAUCUAUACGGGAUUGACACCCCCACACCCUGACUGCUAGCUACAGUCCACGGCCUACCAAGCCAAGGGGUGACAAAUGUCACAUUCUUUCCGACGCUUGCAGGGCGUCAAGUUCUCUAGUGUCUAUCAGUAUGGUUACGAGUAUCUCGAGGUUACCUUAUAAUUCAUGGCCUUAAGGUAACGGGUAUUAACACUGUAUUCACUGUUUUUAGACCUUGCUAGACGUAUCAUUCAUUUGAUACUGUAUGGGGUCUGUAUUCACUGUUUUUAGACCUUGCUAGACGUAUCAUUCAUUUGAUACUGUCUGGGGUCUGUAUUCACUGUUUUUAGACCUUGCUAGACAUGUCAUUCAUUUGAUACUGUCUGGGGUCUGUAUUCCCUGUUUUUAGACCUUUCUAGACGUAUCAUUCAUUUGAU
rnacentral:lncRNA from 1 species